rnacentral:rRNA from 1 species
GCUGUUAAGGGUUCGUAGUUGAACUGUGGGGCACGAAGCCGAGAUCGAGUCCUGGACCCCGGUCCGGGAAAGCCUCGAUCGUUCCUCGAGAACGUCAGAAACUAAGUUUACGGGAGCGUUUGUCGCCGCCAGAUUCGCGAGCAAUGCCCGCAGGCGGACGUCCGUAUUCAUUACUGUGCUAAAGAAGAGCGACCAAAGCAGUCCAUCGACAUGAAUUAGAAAGCAUGGGAUAACAAGGAGCAGCCUACGAGCUACCGUUUAGGCUUUUGUUGGUUUUAAAGGUUCGUAGGAGAUUCGGGUCGGCAAGACCACAGCGUGGAGUUUUCUUCUCCCGUUGUUCUUCCUUGUGCCGGGAACCGGUGCUUGUGAAGCUUGCUGCACUCAGGAAUGAAGGAGGGCUGCUCGGGGGAGAACGUCUUGAGCGUGAGAGGUGAAAUUCUUAGACCGCUCAAAGACGAACUACAGCGAAGGCUUCUCCAAGGAUACCUUCCUCAAUCAAGAACCAAAGUGUGGAGAUCGAAGAUGAUUAGAGCCAUUGUAGUCC